rnacentral:rRNA from 1 species
CAGUCGCCGCGGUAAUACGUAGGGUGCAAGCGUUAAUCGGAAUUACUGGGCGUAAAGCGUGCGCAGGCGGUUCGGAAAGAAAGAUGUGAAAUCCCAGGGCUCAACCUUGGAACUGCAUUUUUAACUCCCGAACUAGAGUAUGUCAGAGGGGGGUGGAAUUCCACGUGUAGCAGUGAAAUGCGUAGAUAUGUGGAGGAACACCGAUGGCGAAGGCAGCCCCCUGGGAUAAUACUGACGCUCAUGCACGAAAGCGUGGGGAGCAAACAGGAUUAGAUACCCCCGUAGUCCCUGUCUCUUAUAC